rnacentral:rRNA from 1 species
GAUGAACGCUGGCGGCGUGCUUAACACAUGCAAGUCGAACGGGAAUUACUUUAUUGAAACUUCGGUCGAUUUAAUUUAAUUCUAGUGGCGGACGGGUGAGUAACGCGUGGGUAACCUGCCUCAUACAGGGGGAUGACAGUUAGAAAUGACUGCUAAUACCGCAUAAGACCACAGUACCGCAUGGUACAGGGGUAAAAAACUCCGGUGGUAUGAGAUGGACCCGCGUCUGAUUAGCUGGUUGGUGGGGUAACGGCCUACCAAGGCGAUGAUCAGUAGCCGGCCUGAGAGGGCGACCGGCCACAUUGGGACUGAGACACGGCCCAAACUCCUACGGGAGCAGCAGUGGGGAAUAUUGCACAAUGGGGGAAACCCUGAUGCAGCGACGCCGCGUGAAGGAAGAAGUA